UAAUAUCGGAUAACGCAUAUGUGCUGGAAUGCUUUAUGCGUAAAACGGAUUCGUCCGCCCAAGGAUGGGUCUGCGGCCUAUCAGGUAGUAGUGGGUGUAAUGUACCUACUAGCCAACAACGGGUACGGGUUGUGAGAGCAAGAGCCCGGAGAUGGAUUCUGAGACAUGAAUCCAGGCCCUACGGGGCGCAGCAGGCGCGAAAACUUUACAAUGCGGGAAACCGUGAUAAGGGAACACCGAGUGCCAGCAUCAUAUGCUGGCUGUCCAGAUGUGUAAACUACAUCUGUUAGCAAGGGCCGGGCAAGACCGGUGCCAGCCGCCGCGGUAACACCGGCGGCCCGAGUGGUGACCGUUAUUAUUGGGUCUAAAGGGUCCGUAGCCGGUUUGGUCAGUCCUCCGGGAAAUCUGAUAGCUUAACUGUUAGGCUUUCGGGGGAUACUGCCAGGCUUGGAACCGGGAGAGGUAAGAGGUACUACAGGGGUAGGAGUGAAAUCUUGUAAUCCCUGUGAGACCACCUGUGGCGAAGGCGUCUUACCAGAACGGGUUCGACGGUGAGGGACGAAAGCUGGGGGCACGAACCGGAUUAGAUACCCGGGUAGUCCCAGCCGUAAACUAUGCUCGCUAGGUGU
rnacentral:rRNA from 1 species